rnacentral:rRNA from 1 species
UACGGAGGGUGCAAGCGUUAAUCGGAAUUACUGGGCGUAAAGAGCACGUAGGUGGAUAAUUAAGUCGGUUGUGAAAGCCCUGGGCUUAACCUGGGAACUGCAUCCGAUACUGGUUGUCUCGAGUAUGGGAGAGGGAAGUGGAAUUUCCGGUGUAGCGGUGAAAUGCAUAGAUAUCGGAAAGAACACCAGUGGCGAAGGCGACUUCCUGGCCUAAUACUGACACUGAGGUGCGAAAGCGUGGGGAGCAAACAGG